UGUGUAGCAGCAGGGGGGAUGAAAGGGUGGACAUUCAGAGUGAUGACAUUUGUCUUCCUAAGAAACUGUUGUACAUGAUGAACCCUGAUUUCCUAGGAGUGCCUGAACACCUGCCUGCUAAUGGGAAAUAGUGAAUGAAUUCCUGGUUUUGCU